rnacentral:sRNA from 2 species
UUCGACUAAGGUUCGAUUCGAGCGAAAGCGAGAAAGCGUUGCCGCAGGCAACGACCCGAAGGGCGAAGCGCGCAGCGCUGAGUAAUCCUUCCCCCACCACCA